AUAGUCCGAUGAUAAAACCAUGC
rnacentral:siRNA from 1 species